rnacentral:lncRNA from 1 species
CCACCUGGAAGUACUUUCCCCAUGACUCCAAAAGGAUAUAUUGCCAAGGAAGAAUUUUGUACUUUUUUGCGUCAUUUUAACCAGCACCAAUUACCAGGAAAAGCUUUGUUAAUUUUUGACAGACAUUGUAGUCAUUUGGAUAUAUCUGUAAUAGAGGAAGCCGAAAAGUUAAACAUCCAUAUGCUUUAUCUUCCAGCGCAUCGCAGCCACGUACUUCAACCUCUGGACAAAAGCGUUUUCAAACCAUUAAAAACUUACUGGAAUGUCUCCAUUUCUGAAGAAACUUUCCUGGACAAUCACUGUCAAAACUGCAGUUUCCACUAUUAUUUACUGAAGCAUGGUUGCGUACUGCUACAACAGCAAAUGUCAUAUCAGAUUUCAGAUCAAUAGGAAUCUGUCCUUUCAACCCUAAUAUUAUUCCCCAAGUAGCUUUUGUACCCAGUGAAAUUUCUACUCGCAAAAACGACAAAAGAAAAAAAGGUGAUUGGAUUCGAUACGUCAGAUGCAAAACUUGGUUCCAUGAGCACUGUUACACAGGAAGCAUCAUAAAAAGUGGCCUUAGCAAGUUGUGCAAAGUAGGGUGUAGAUCAAGUAGCGAAAAUGACUUAACAAUUAGAUUUGUUUUCCUGCUAUAAUUGUUGUCAUUACUGGAGUUUCCAGACCAGAUCAAUUGGGAAACGAAAAAGUAUGUUUAGUUCGAGGAUAUUCGUUUUAUUUUGCUGUUCUUCUUCCUGUCUGUCUGAUAUUGAUUGUGAACUUUGUUGUGUUA